rnacentral:lncRNA from 1 species
ACACCGAAGACAGCAGCAGGAACAGGAGGACCGAAUGAAGCAACAGAUCGACGGUUGCGGGAAACAGUUGCCGCAGUCGGAACAACAACACCAGUACCAUUGCUGACUUGCUGAAGAGCACGAACACGGUGUGAAACUUCUGAGACCAGUUGAGACAAGCGAGGAUUACCUACAGCAAAAACUUCAAUGUCGCAAAGGUGCUGAAGAAGAUCAUCUGGCCAAACACCUCGCUGACGUGCCAACUCAUAUCCCAGUUCCUGCAACAAAUCAUCAAGAGAAGACAUGGUGAACAAGAAAAUGAAUCAAAUAAAGGAAAGCAACCUAUUUAUAGGAAGAGGGGGGGGAGUACUGAUGGUACCCCCAAGUUACCAGCCCAGGCCCACGAAGAAGCCUAGGCCCAGGAAGACGAACAGUGGAAAGCCCAAGUAAUUCCGAGGACGUUAACUUGUUCGAAUGGUCCGGGCGGUCCUAUAAGCCCUGCGAACAUUCGGCCGACCGGCUAAAAGGAUCCCAUUAACUCGAGCAGUUGACAUCCCAAAGAAGGCAUCCCAAGUGUAUCGGAUCCAUUAGGUCGGUUCAUGUUAGGAAGUUGUAUAAAUACCCCUAGGGGUGAAGUGUAAAAGGGGG